AUUGAACGCUGGCGGAAUGCUUUACACAUGCAAGUCGAACGGCAGCACGGACUUCGGUCUGGUGGCGAGUGGCGAACGGGUGAGUAACACAUCGGAACGUAUCCAAUAAUGGGGGAUAACUAAUCGAAAGGUUAGCUAAUACCGCAUACGCCCUACGGGGGAAAGCUAGGGACCUUCGGGCCUGGCGUUAAUGGAGCGGCCGAUAUCUGAUUAGCUAGUUGGUGAGGUAAAGGCUCACCAAGGCGACGAUCAGUAGCUGGUCUGAGAGGACGACCAGCCACACUGGAACUGAGACACGGUCCAGACUCCUACGGGAGGCAGCAGUGGGGAAUUUUGGACAAUGGGCGCAAGCCUGAUCCAGCCAUUCCGCGUGAGUGAAGAAGGCCUUCGGGUUGUAAAGCUCUUUCGCAAGGGAAGAAAACUUACCCUCUAACAUAGGGUGAGGUUACGGUACCUUGAUAAGAAGCACCGGCUAACUACGUGCCAGCCGCCGCCGUAAGAC
rnacentral:rRNA from 1 species